CCUACGGGAGGCUGCAGUGGGGAAUAUUGGACAAUGGGCGAAAGCCUGAUCCAGCCAUGCCGCGUGUGUGAAGAAGGCCUUCGGGUUGUAAAGCACUUUCAGCGGGGAAGAAAGCCUUGGGGCUAAUACCCUCGAGGAAGGACAUCACCCACAGAAGAAGCACCGGCUAACUCCGUGCCAGCAGCCGCGGUAAUACGGAGGGUGCGAGCGUUAAUCGGAAUUACUGGGCGUAAAGCGCGCGUAGGCGGUCUGAUAAGCCGGUUGUGAAAGCCCCGGGCUCAACCUGGGAACGGCAUCCGGAACUGUCAGGCUAGAGUGCAGGAGAGGAAGGUAGAAUUCCCGGUGUAGCGGUGAAAUGCGUAGAGAUCGGGAGGAAUACCAGUGGCGAAGGCGGCCUUCUGGACUGACACUGACGCUGAGGUGCGAAAGCGUGGGUAGCAAACAGGAUUAGAUACCCCAGUAGUC
rnacentral:rRNA from 1 species